rnacentral:rRNA from 1 species
UGAUCCUACGGGGAGGCAGCAGUGAGGAAUAUUGGGCAAUGGGCGCAAGUCUGACCCAGCCAUGCCGCGUGCAGGAAGAAUGCCCUAUGGGUUGUAAACUGCUUUUAUACGGGAAGAAACCCCCUCUCGUGAGAGGGGCUGACGGUACCGUAUGAAUAAGCACCGGCUAACUCCGUGCCAGCAGCCGCGGUAAUACGGAGGGUGCAAGCGUUAUCCGGAUUUAUUGGGUUUAAAGGGUCCGUAGGCGGAAUGCUAAGUCAGUGGUGAAAUCCUGCAGCUCAACUGUAGAAUUGCCAUUGAUACUGGUUUUCUUGAAUAUGUACGAAGUGGGCGGAAUAUGACAUGUAGCGGUGAAAUGCUUAGAUAUGUCAUAGAACACCAAUUGCGAAGGCAGCUCACUAGUCCAUUAUUGACGCUGAUGCACGAAAGCGUGGGGAUCAAACAGGAUUAGAUACCCUGGUAGUCCACGCAGUAAACGAUGAUCACUCGUCAUUGGCGAUAUACUGUCAGUGACCAAGCGAAAGUGAUUAGUAUCCACCUGG